rnacentral:lncRNA from 1 species
AAACUGUCGCAUCUCCAGGUAGAGUGAACAGCAUUUUGUAGCCGCACAAUACACUUUACGACGGAAGUGGAGAAGCGUUGAGGGAUUUCUUGGGGAGGCAUGAGGGUUUUCGGAAGUGGAGGAGGAUGCUGGUGGAGGAAGGAGGGUUGCGAUGUUUGGGAGUUUGUUAUUAUUCUUUCAUUCUUUGUUACAGAUAAUAUUUGCUAACCCAAAAUUUAGUUGGUGAAAGUUGUAUCAAUACAUACAGAGCAAUAUUGUCUCCUGUUAUUUGUUUUUUUUAGCAAUUUUUACAUCUUUGUUUCAUUCUUUAUUAUUAUUAUUAUUAUUAUGUAAGUAAGUUGAAAUUCUU